AGAGGGAUUGCUGGGUCAAAUGGUGCUUCCAUUCUCAAUUUUCUAAGAAGUUUCCACACUACUUUCCAUAUUUGGCUGUACCAAUUUGCAGUCUCACCAGCAGU
rnacentral:pre_miRNA from 1 species